GCCGAAGUGGCGGAAUUGGUAGACGCGCUAGCUUCAGGAGCUAGUUCCCACCUUGGGAGUGCGAGUUCAACUCUCGCCUUCGGCACCA
rnacentral:tRNA from 1 species